rnacentral:rRNA from 1 species
UGACUGCGUACCUUUUGUAUAAUGGGUCAGCGACUUAUAUUCUGUAGCAAGGUUAACCGAAUAGGGGAGCCGAAGGGAAACCGAGUCUUAACUGGGCGUUAAGUUGCAGGGUAUAGACCCGAAACCCGGUGAUCUAGCCAUGGGCAGGUUGAAGGUUGGGUAACACUAACUGGAGGACCGAACCGACUAAUGUUGAAAAAUUAGCGGAUGACUUGUGGCUGGGGGUGAAAGGCCAAUCAAACCGGGAGAUAGCUGGUUCUCCCCGAAAGCUAUUUAGGUAGCGCCUCGUGAAUUCAUCUCCGGGGGUAGAGCACUGUUUCGGCAAGGGGGUCAUCCCGACUUACCAACCCGAUGCAAACUGCGAAUACCGGAGAAUGUUAUCACGGGAGACACACGGCGGGUGCUAACGUCCGUCGUGAAGAGGGAAACAACCCAGACCGCCAGCUAAGGUCCCAAAGUCAUGGUUAAGUGGGAAACGAUGUGGGAAGGCCCAGACAGCCAGGAUGUUGGCUUAGAAGCAGCCAUCAUUUAAAGAAAGCGUAAUAGCUCACUGGUCGAGUCGGCCUGCGCGGAAGAUGUAACGGGGCUAAACCAUGCACCGAAGCUGCGGCAGCGACGCUGAUGCGUUGUUGGGUAGGGGAGCGUUCUGUAAGCCUGUGAAGGUGUGCUGUGAGGCAUGCUGGAGGUAUCAGAAGUGCGAAUGCUGACAUAAGUAACGAUAAAGCGGGUGAAAAGCCCGCUCGCCGGAAGACCAAGGGUUCCUGUCCAACGUUAAUCGGGGCAGGGUGAGUCGACCCCUAAGGCGAGGCCGAAAGGCGUAGUCGAUGGGAAACAGGUUAAUAUUCCUGUACUUGGUGUUACUGCGAAGGGGGGACGGAGAAGGCUAUGUUGGCCGGGCGACGGUUGUCCCGGUUUAAGCGUGUAGGCUGGUUUUCCAGGCAAAUCCGGAAAAUCAAGGCUGAGGCGUGAUGACGAGGCACUACGGUGCUGAAGCAACAAAUGCCCUGCUUCCAGGAAAAGCCUCUAAGCAUCAGGUAACAUCAAAUCGUACCCCAAACCGACACAGGUGGUCAGGUAGAGAAUACCAAGGCGCUUGAGAGAACUCGGGUGAAGGAACUAGGCAAAAUGGUGCCGUAACUUCGGGAGAAGG